UGCAAGCACAUUGGGGUACAAAUCGGGAUAAUUUUGAAAAUGACAAAUAUCUAAUAAGCUAAAAGCACUUUAUACUAUAGAAAGGUAGAAGAAUACACCUAUGUAUCGAAGGACCUCCUUGUUCUUGGCAACAUGUUUGUGCAUUUUGGCUACCCAUCAAUGUUUUUCCAACUCGACUGGCACGAAGCCCGGAUUCGAUCCCGACGACCCUAGAGAGCUGCUAUACCGCGAGCUGUCCCCGGAGGCGUACUUCAGCCUACCUUGUCACGAUCCCGGGGACACCGCCCAGACCUUCCGACGCCAA